UACGAAGGGUGCAAGCGUUACUCGGAAUUACUGGCGUAAAGCGUGCGUAGGUGGUGAGUUAAGUCUGUCGUGAAAGCCCUGGGCUCAACCUGGGAACUGCAUUGGAAACUGGCUUACUAGAGUGCGGUAGAGGGGUGUGGAAUUCCCGGUGUAGCAGUGAAAUGCGUAGAUAUCGGGAGGAACAUCUGUGGCGAAGGCGACACCCUGGACCAGCACUGACACUGAGGCACGAAAGCGUGGGAGCAACAGG
rnacentral:rRNA from 1 species